UACAGAGGGUGCAAGCGUUGUUCGGAAUUACUGGGCGUAAAGCGCGUGUAGGCGGCUUGAUCAGUCAGACGUGAAAUCCCUCGGCUUAACCGAGGAACUGCGUCUGAUACUGUCAGGCUUGAGUGUCGGAGGGGAUGGCGGAAUUCCUGGUGUAGAGGUGAAAUUCGUAGAUAUCAGGAGGAACAUCCGUGGCGAAGGCGGCCAUCUGGAAGACAACUGACGCUGAGACGCGAAAGCGUGGGUAGCAAACAGG
rnacentral:rRNA from 1 species